rnacentral:lncRNA from 1 species
UUUUCUUUCAACCUCACUAGUCUUUUUUUAAAACCCUCACAUUUGCUCUUGGCUUUUUUCCUCCCCUCCUCUCUAUUCAAUGACCUAUAAUCAAUAUGCUCUUUAAUUUAUACGUUACUUAAUUUUCUCUUCAGGUCAUUUCUUCUCCCUCAAACCUCCUUUCAACACCAAACCCUUCACCUCCCAAUCCUUUGAAAUCACGAGAAUUAAUUAAUCGAAAAUGCAACAUUUAAUUAUAUGCACCAUAUUUCACCAAUGAAUAGACUUUGUAACUCCAAUCCACUCUCCACCUCCAUUAAUCCCCCGCCGCCUUCUCUUUUGCAUGGCCGCUUAUUUUCCAUGCAAAAAAGAAUAUCAUCAUCUAAUUUCCCACUCCGCACUCAUCUAGCUCUUUCUCUCUCAUUGUGUUAAUGAAGAUGAUGAGGACGAUGAAGAAGAAGAAGAAAAAAAAAAAGAGCAUGCAAAGAACGUUGUCUUCUUCGAGAAGUAUCGUCCCGCAAAGCCGAACCGUGGCCUAUAUAAGUGCCUGCUGGGUUGAUUCAACUGCGUUGAAACUAGCUUUUUUUUAUCUUUCACAACGGAAUGUUCAAAAGGCACAUAAUAUGAUAAAAUUGUAUGUCUCUUACUGUAUUUCGAUGAUUUUUAAAAAAUUAUAUAAACUUCUAACGAUAAUUUUAUUUUUUUAGUAGUUGAAUUUAGUCAUGCAAAUUGACUGUGCUUAACAUGGCAUAGCUUCCUAUACAUCAAUAAGCUGUAAAUAUAAAUUUUACUAAAAUUUUAAAAUUUUGUUUCUAUUAUCUAUUCGCUGCAUCGCGGGUCUCUACACUAUUAAUUAUUAAAACGAAAUAUUUACCUACAGUUAUUCCGUAA